GGCAUAGUUUAGUUGGUUAGAGCAGUAGCCUGUCACGCUACAAGCGGGAGUUCAAAUCUCCCUGUCA
rnacentral:tRNA from 1 species